rnacentral:rRNA from 1 species
CCUACGGGAGGCAGCAGUGGGGAAUUUUGGACAAUGGGCACAAGCCUGAUCCAGCAAUGUCGCGUGCAGGAUGAAGGCCUUCGGGUUGUAAACUGCUUUUGUACGGAGCGAAACGGUCUACUCUAAUACAGUGGGCUAAUGACGGUACCGUAAGAAUAAGCACCGGCUAACUACGUGCCAGCAGCCGCGGUAAUACGUAGGGUGCGAGCGUUAAUCGGAAUUACUGGGCGUAAAGCGUGCGCAGGCGGUUAUAUAAGACAGAUGUGAAAUCCCCGGGCUCAACCUGGGACCUGCAUUUGUGACUGUAUAGCUAGAGUGCGGCAGAGGGGGAUGGAAUUCCGCGUGUAGCAGUGAAAUGCGUAGAUAUGCGGAGGAACACCGAUGGCGAAGGCAAUCCCCUGGGCCUGCACUGACGCUCAUGCACGAAAGCGUGGGGAGCAAACAGGAUUAGAUACCCUGGUAGUCCACGCCCUAAACGAUGUCAACUGGUUGUUGGGUCUUCACUGACUCAGUAACGAAGCUAACGCGUGAAGUUGACCGCCUGGGGGAGGUACGGCCGCGAGGUUAGUAAACGUUAAAGGUAAAGUUAGUACGGCGUGAGACGUUAGCCGACGGACGACGACGAGGGGAGGUAGGG